UGACAUUAGCCAGUCAGCACAGAAACUA
rnacentral:piRNA from 1 species